rnacentral:rRNA from 1 species
GAUGAACGCUGACAGAAUGCUUAACACAUGCAAGUCGACUCGAGUCUUCGGACUUGGGUGGCGCACGGGUGAGUAACGCGUAAAGAACUUGCCUCUUAGACCGGGACAACAUCUGGAAACGGAUGCUAAUACCGGAUAUUAUGGUUUUUUCGCAUGGAGGAAUCAUGAAAGCUAGAUGCGCUAAGAGAGAGCUUUGCGUCCCAUUAGCUAGUUGGUGAGGUAACGGCCCACCAAGGCAAUGAUGGGUAGCCGGCCUGAGAGGGUGAACGGCCACAAGGGGACUGAGACACGGCCCUUACUCCUACGGGAGGCAGCAGUGGGGAAUAUUGGACAAUGGACCACAAGUCUGAUCCAGCAAUUCUGUGUGCACGAUGACGUUUUUCGGAAUGUAAAGUGCUUUCAGUCUGGAAGAAGUCAGUGACGGUACCGACAGAAGAAUCGACGGCUAAAUACGUGCCAGCACUCGCGGUAAUUCGUAUGUCUCAAGCUUUAUCCGGAUUUUAUUGGGCGUUUAGAGCGUCUUGGCGGUGAGGUAAGUCUGAUGUGAAAUGCUGUGCUCACCUCCUUAUGGAGUUGUUGACUGCCUUACUGUAGUUCUGGUGAGGUAUGCGGAUCUUCUGUGUUUUAUGUGUGAUUCUAUAUUGUUGUAGGAAGACAAGGGGAACCCCUCGAUUGUGUUGAUUUGUUUUGUAUUGCUAAUGUUUUGUAUUAACAUAUAUUUAUUCUUUAUCCUGUUGCUAUUUAUUUUGUUUAUGUGUGUUUGUGUUGCGCUUGCCCUCUGGGAUAAACAUAUAAAUAUUAUAAUUAGUGCCUUAGUGUUUGUGCUAGUAUAUG